rnacentral:snRNA from 1 species
GGAUGCGAAGGCAAUCUAGAUGUGGCAUCUGUCACCCUAUCAGUCUCUAGGGUUGAUUCAGCUGAUCUGGCUGGCUGGGAAGGUAUUCCCUUCCUCCCUCACCAUUCCAUGUGUAUCCCUCCCAAAGCAGACAACCUUCCCUGAUAGAGGAGGGUCAUUCUUGGGUCAAGAGUAUACAAGUAUUGGCCCUUUUCUGCUAAAAACUCUAAACAAGCCCACAAGGUCCAUGUUGUUGAUGGCUUCCUUUGCUGUGCAGAAGUUUUUUAGUUUAAUGUGGCCCCAUUUGUUUAUUUUU